ACUAAGGUUUCCAGAGGAAGGCUCGUCCGCUCUGGGUUAGUCGGGUCCUAAGCUGAGGCCGACAGGCGUAGGCGAUGGAUAACAGGUUGAUAUUCCUGUACCACCUAUAAUCGUUUUAAUCGAUGGGGGGACGCAGUAGGAUAGGCGAAGCGUGCGAUUGGAUUGCACGUCUAAGCAGUAAGGCUGAGUAUUAGGCAAAUCCGGUACUCGUUAAGGCUGAGCUGUGAUGGGGAGAAGACAUUGUGUCUUCGAGUCGUUGAUUUCACACUGCCGAGAAAAGCCUCUAGAUAGAAAAUAGGUGCCCGUACCGCAAACCGACACAGGUAGUCAAGAUGAGAAUUCUAAGGUGAGCGAGCGAACUCUCGUUAAGGAACUCGGCAAAAUGACCCCGUAACUUCGGGAGAAGGGGUGCUCUUUAGGGUUAACGCCCAGAAGAGCCGCAGUGAAUAGGCCCAAGCGACUGUUUAUCAAAAACACAGGUCUCUGCUAAACCGUAAGGUGAUGUAUAGGGGCUGACGCCUGCCCGGUGCUGGAAGGUUAAGAGGAGUGGUUAGCUUCUGCGAAGCUACGAAUCGAAGCCCCAGUAAACGGCGGCCGUAACUAUAACGGUCCUAAGGUAGCGAAAUUCCUUGUCGGGUAAGUUCCGACCCGCACGAAAGGCGUAACGAUUUGGGCACUGUCUCAACGAGAGACUCGGUGAAAUCAUAGUACCUGUGAAGAUGCAGGUUACCCGCGACAGGACGGAAAGACCCCGUGGAGCUUUACUGUAGCCUGAUAUUGAAAUUCGGCACAGCUUGUACAGGAUAGGUAGGAGCCUUUGAAACGUGAGCGCUAGCUUACGUGGAGGCGCUGGUGGGAUACUACCCUAGCUGUGUUGGCUUUCUAACCCGCACCACUUAUCGUGGUGGGAGACAGUGUCAGGCGGGCAGUUUGACUGGGGCGGUCGCCUCCUAAAAGGUAACGGAGGCGCUCAAAGGUUCCCUCAGAAUGGUUGGAAAUCAUUCAUAGAGUGUAAAGGCAUAAGGGAGCUUGACUGCGAGACCUACAAGUCGAGCAGGGUCGAAAGACGGACUUAGUGAUCCGGUGGUUCCGCAUGGAAGGGCCAUCGCUCAACGGAUAAAAGCUACCCCGGGGAUAACAGGCUUAUCUCCCCCAAGAGUUCACAUCGACGGGGAGGUUUGGCACCUCGAUGUCGGCUCAUCGCAUCCUGGGGCUGUAGUCGGUCCCAAGGGUUGGGCUGUUCGCCCAUUAAAGCGGUACGCGAGCUGGGUUCAGAACGUCGUGAGACAGUUCGGUCCCUAUCCGUCGUGGGCGUAGGAAAUUUGAGAGGAGCUGUCCUUAGUACGAGAGGACCGGGAUGGACAUACCUCU
rnacentral:rRNA from 1 species